rnacentral:rRNA from 1 species
GACGAACGCUGGCGGCGUGCUUAACACAUGCAAGUCGAACGAUGAAGCCCAGCUUGCUGGGUGGAUUAGUGGCGAACGGGUGAGUAACACGUGAGUAACCUGCCCCUGACUCUGGGAUAAGCGUUGGAAACGACGUCUAAUACUGGAUAUGACUACUGGUCGCAUGGCCUGGUGGUGGAAAGAUUUUUUGGUUGGGGAUGGACUCGCGGCCUAUCAGCUUGUUGGUGAGGUAAUGGCUCACCAAGGCGACGACGGGUAGCCGGCCUGAGAGGGUGACCGGCCACACUGGGACUGAGACACGGCCCAGACUCCUACGGGAGGCAGCAGUGGGGAAUAUUGCACAAUGGGCGAAAGCCUGAUGCAGCAACGCCGCGUGAGGGAUGACGGCCUUCGGGUUGUAAACCUCUUUUAGUAGGGAAGAAGCGAAAGUGACGGUACCUGCAGAAAAAGCACCGGCUAACUACGUGCCAGCAGCCGCGGUAA